AAGCAACCAGAAUUUAUAUCCAGUUACAAUGCACUGAUUGUUUUUUUGCUUUUUGUUUUAUAGGAGAUCAGCGGACACACCCAUCUGUGGUUAUCAUUAAAAUAUCUGCCUGGACUGUUGUGAAAUUCAUGUUGCUGAGGUCCCAGUAGGCCUCGUGUGUUUUGUUAUGUGGGCGUGCAAUAUUCCUCUCUCCCUGACUCUGUGGCUUGCAUGAGUCUUGUCUUGACUAACUAUUGUAUCCCUCCCUCCAACACUCCAUGUUAAAUCGCACUCUGUUACAUUAAAACAGUGCAGAAAUAUGCAGGGCUCGCUCUAAACGUUUUAGGCUAAGAACUCAGUCAUGACUUCGGGACAGAGCCCAAGCUUUGGCAGGAGACUCGGGGCAACGCCACGCCAAUAAUGUGUUGGUUAUGCCAACUUCACCCGCUGCACAGCAAUUCAAAUGAAUUAUGCUCCUGGCAGCAACUUUCUCAACUUAUCAAAAUAAGACACGCUUUUUUCGGUUUGAAAUAAUGAUGCAAUUUGCAGUAAAAUGCCUGCUGGAAACCUUAGUAAAUCUCAGCUGUAUGAGUCAUUUAAAUAAUUUGUGCUCCAAAAAAGGAAUCUUUGACAAAUAUACAUCCAAAAAGGAAAGUUCCAAAAAUAGAGUCUUCAACCACCUCUCAUUUCUUUUAUAUUUUAUAUAUUUUACUCAGAAUACAGGAAAUAGAUGCAGUGAUUUAUUAAUACACGUGCCAACAUAAAUGGAAAUACAGUAUAUAAGGGGAAAAAAGAGUAUUUGGUGUGACAUGUAUUCUUUUUUGUAAUUUCUUUAAGUAGUCUUCAGGAAUACUUCUCCAGGCUUCUCGAAGGACAUUUAAAGCUCAUUUUCUUAUGCUGGCUGCUUUUUGUGGUGUCAAGAUGAUCACACACUGCUUCAUGUUGUGAAGCACAGAAGAGAAUAACAGGUUAGGAGGAUACCAGUCCAUAACUUCAGUGAACUGAACAUGGAUCAACUGAAGCGCCACAUCAGGUCCUGUUUCUGGUGUUUUUCUCCCAUUUCUUAAGGACAUGACUUUCAGACACUAUUCAUCUGCUGGAGAUCGUUUUGUAAGCCAGACACGUCUACUUUUGUCCUCAUCUUGUCCAGUUUCCUUUUUAGUAACUCCAACAGCAGUUUUUUAAUGCAGAGCAAAGGUUUCGCACUGUUUCAGAGCAUUAGUAAAUCUGGACCUAGAAUAAAGCUCACUGGUUACCCAUCUGAAAAAAUAAUAGAUUAGUUCUUCUUCUUUUAGACUAGUGAAAAACAGAUAUUUUGAUUAUUGUGGCCCUUAAAUAUUAUUUUUAAAUGUGACACUUGUUUGAUCUCUUGUUCAAAUGUACUUAUUUUAUUGCGUGCAGUUGGCUAUGAUUUGUAAAUUGUUACGUCCCUCUGCAGCCUCUAAUCUGCUCAGUGUGUUCAGCUGGUGCUAAUUGGCCACACCUAGUCAGGUGUGGAUAAAGGCAUACCUGAGGCAAGCUUCCCAGAGAGCUCACUUGUCUUUGCCUUGGUGGCACCAGCCAUUUUAGCCAACCUGGUAUUCCAUUUUAAGAAAAAAAAACCUCUUCUCACUAACACUCUGGUAUUCGUCUCCUUUUUUUAUGUUGCGGCCUCGAGCCGGGUCGUAACAAAAUUGAGUACUGAUGAUGAUUUAAUGUUUCUGGAAGUGUUUUGAUUUUCAUUGCACCCUUCAAACUCUUCUAUGGUGUUUUCUUCAUUUCCCUCCUUUUGUCAUUCAUUUUAUAAACAGGUCUAUAAAUUAAAAUCAUACUGAGCACAGAGAAAAGAAGAAGUCAUUAAUCGAGUUCAGGCCGUAAGCUUCCUGUGACAGUGCAACAUGUAAACUUGUCUUUUUAUUAUUUAAACUGAUGUAAUUAGUCCAGACAAGCUAAAUCUCAUCAUACUUUAUUGAUUUUGGUUUAUAUAGUCAUGAAGGUGGAAAUGAUCCAGAGCACUUUAAAAAUAAACUGAGUUGACGUCAAAAGAAGCUCCACAUGUGAUUGUUUUUCUUUCCUCUGUGGUUUAUGGAGAUAAACAUCUUCAUACAUGGACAUCGCCCUCAGGAGGAUUACAGCUGGCAGCUUACCAACUGUAGUGUGCACAGAUGGACCAGCAAGACCCAGAGAGAAAAAUACACCUUUCAAGCCGAGCUGAUGCCACUUGGCAGUUUGCAGCUGGGUCCAAGUCUGUUUGUGCUACAAAGCGUGCAGAAAAUGAAGCUCUGGCACUCUGACUCUGCAGGAUUUUAAAAUGCGAAGCUGGCGGGAAAUGGAUGGAAAGGAAGAUGCCGCUGGCUGUUUGUUUUUGUUUAAUAUGAUGAAAUCAGCCUCCAGAUGGGAUCCUAGAAUGAUUACCAUAUGGGCCCACAGUGAUUUAUGAGACUCGUUGGCGCUGAAUGCCUCGGUAGCUCAGAUUCCACCUGCCAUCAACACAGACUGAUCACUCUGUCAUAUGAAGGAGGCAGUGAUGUGUACAUUUAUUUGAGAUGUCAAAGAGUGUGUUAAAGUGAAAUAAACCUAUUUUAUCUACAUGGCAAAUGACAUGUUUUCACAGAUGUCUGACGAGUCUAAUAACCAUGCAAGCAGAAACAAGUUAAUGAAUUUUUGACAAAAGUAGCGUUAGAUAAACU